rnacentral:rRNA from 1 species
UACAGAGGCCUCGAGCGUUAGGCGGAAUCACUGGGCUUAAAGCGUGUGUAGGCGGACUUCUAAGUACCUUGUGAAAUCCCACGGCUUACCCGUGGAACUGCUCGGUAUACUGGUUGUCUUGAGCCACCUAGGGGCGAGGUGGAACAAAUGGUGGAGCGGUGAAAUGACGUAGAUAUCAUUUGGAACGCCAAUGGUGAAAACAACUCGCUGGGGGUGUGCUGACGCUGAGACACGAAAGCCAGGGGAGCGAACGGG